AUGAUAGAGGAAAGCAGAAUUUCUAGUGUAGAGGUGAAAUUCGUAGAUAUUAGAAAGAAUACCAAUUGCGAAGGCAGCUUUCUGGAUCAUUACUGACACUGAGGAACGAAAGCAUGGGUAGCGAAGAGGAUUAGAUACCCUCGUAGUCCAUGCCGUAAACGAUGUGUGUUAGACGUUGGAAAUUUAUUUUCAGUGUCGCAGGGAAACCGAUAAACACACCGCCUGGGGAGUACGACCGCAAGGUUAAAACUCAAAUGAAUUGACGGGGACCCGCACAAGUAGUGGAGCAUGUGGUUUAAUUCGAAGAUACGCGCAGAACCUUACCAACACUUGACAUGUUCGUCGCGACUCUAAGAGAUUAGAGUUUUCGGUUCGGCCGGACGAAACACAGGUGCUGCAUGGCUGUCGUCAGCUCGUGUCGUGAGAUGUUGGGUUAAGUCCCGCAACGAGCGCAACCCUCACUUUUAGUUGCCAUCAUUAAGUUGGGCACUCUGAAAGAACUGCCAGUGAUAAGCUGGAGGAAGGUGGGGAUGACGUCAAGUCCUCAUGGCCCUUACGUGUUGGGCUACACACGUGCUACAAUGGCAUCUACAACAGGAAGCAAAACGGCAACGUUAAGCAAAUCCCGAAAAGAUGCCUCAGUUCGGAUUGCACUCUGCAACUCGAGUGCAUGAAGCUGGAAUUACUAGUAAUCGUGGAUCAGCGUGCCACGGUGAAUGCGUUCCCGGGUCUUGUACACACCGCCCGUCACACCAUGGGAGUUGGUUCUACCUUAAGGCAAGGUUUUAAACCCUUGACCACGGUAUAGUCAGCGACUGGGGUGAAGUCGUAACAAGGUAGCCGUA
rnacentral:rRNA from 1 species